UUAACUGAAACCAAAGAAAGAGGUGUAUUAUUGUUAAUAAUAAAAUUGAACUAAAGUUCCAGUUAAG
rnacentral:tRNA from 2 species